CCGCGUAAUUACAGGGGCUGUAGGCAGGCCUGGCCGUAAAAUAGGAGGAUGAAACGGCCUGGGAACCGGGAGCUGACACCCGCCCGCCAAGCCCUCUCCAGACGGCAGCAGAUCCUGGCGGGGAGAAGAGCCCCGAGAGGCAAAUUCCAGCGGGUCCGCGCGCGGAGCAGCAAAGCCAGGUCCUGCACCCUCGCGUUCGCAGACUGGCACUUGCGACUUCUUCCCUUCUCCCGCACGCGACUGCGCCGAGGGACGCAAGCCCACCACCCGGACAGGCUUACAAAGCUCCACGCAGACCCACAAGUGAGCGAACACACAGCUCUGAGCAGAUCUGCCGGGGCAGAGGAGCGCGCUUCGCUCUUUCCUGCACCCCUAGCCUCCUCGCCUACCCAGCCCGCCCCUCCUCCACCUCCCCAGCCCCCAAGCCCCGGGGCAGCCGCGCGCCGGGCGGGGCGAGGGCGGGGCGGGGUGUCGGGCGGCGCCGGCCCAAAAGGCGGAGUCGCAAGGCGAAGGGGCCAGAUCUGUGAGCCCAACGCUGACUUCGCCGCGGAGAAAGCCAGCGGGAACCCAGACCCCUAG
rnacentral:lncRNA from 1 species